rnacentral:rRNA from 1 species
AAGAUGAGAUUUCCCACCGGCUUGACCGGGUAAGACCCCUCGUAGACGACGAGGUCGAUCGGUCCGAGGUGGAAGCGCGGUAACGCGUGAAGCUGACGGAUCCGAAUCGGUCGAGGCUUUGCCC